rnacentral:rRNA from 1 species
UACAGAGGUGGCAAGCGUUGUUCGGAAUUACUGGGCGUAAAGGGCGCGUAGGCGGCCCGUCAAGUCCCGUGUGAAAGCCCCCGGCUCAACCGGGGAACUGCACGGGAAACUAGCAGGCUUGAGUUCGGGAGAGGGAAGCGGAAUUUCGGGUGUAGCGGUGAAAUGCGCAGAUAUCCGAAGGAACACCGGUGGCGAAGGCGGCUUCCUGGACCGACACUGACGCUGAGGUGCGAAAGCUAGGGGAGCAAACGGG